UACGGGGGGGGCAAGCGUUGUUCGGAAUUACUGGGCGUAAAGGGCUCGUAGGUGGCCAACUAAGUCAGACGUGAAAUCCCUCGGCUUAACCGGGGAACUGCGUCUGAUACUGGAUGGCUUGAGUUCGGGAGAGGGAUGCGGAAUUCCAGGUGUAGCGGUGAAAUGCGUAGAUAUCGGGAGGAACACCAGAGGCGAAGGCGGGUUACUGGGCUGAUACUGACGCUGAUGCGCGAAAGCUAGGGGAGCGAACGGG
rnacentral:rRNA from 1 species